AUUGAACGCUGGCGGCAGGCCUAACACAUGCAAGUCGAACGAGUGGCGGACGGGUGAGUAAUGUCUGGGAAACUGCCCGAUGGAGGGGGAUAACUACUGGAAACGGUAGAUAAUAACGCAUACCAUCGGAUGUGCUCCGAUUGGAUUAGCUGGUAGGUGGGGUAAGGCCUCACCUAGGCGACGAACCCUAGCUGGUCUGGGAGGCUGACCAGACCCACUGGAACUGAGACACGGGCCAGACUCCUACGGUAGGCCUCAGUGGGGAUUAUUGAAUAAUGGGCGCAAGCCUGACGCAGCCAUGCCCCGUGUGUGAAGAAGGCCCCCGGGUUGUAAAGUACUGUCAGCGAGGAGGCGUUACUCGCAGAAGAAGCACCGGCUAACGCCGUGCGAGCAGCCGCGGUAAUAC
rnacentral:rRNA from 1 species